AUUGAACGCUGGCGGCAGGCCUAACACAUGCAAGUCGAGCGGAGCGGCGGACGGGUGAGUAAUGCCUAGGAAUCUGCCUGGUAGUGGGGGUUAACGUCCGGAAACGGGCGCUAAUACCGCAUACUAUCAGACUAGCCUAGGUCGGAUUAGCUAGUGGGUGGGGUAAAGGCCUACCAAGGCGACGAUCCGUAACUGGUCUGAGAGGAUGAUCAGUACCACUGGAACUGAGACAAGGUCCAGACUCCUACGGGAGGCAGCAGUGGGGAAUAUUGAACAAUGGGCGAAAGCCUGAUGCAGCCAUGCCGCGGGGGUGAAGAAGGCAUUCGGUUUGUAUAGCACUUUAAGUUGGGAGGCGUUACCAACAGAAUAAGCACCGGCUGACUUCGUGCCAGCAGCCGCGGUAAUAC
rnacentral:rRNA from 1 species